CCGUCCCGCGUCCUAGGCGGGGCGCCAUGGGACCUCCCUCGUGUCUGUGGCGGUGGGAUCCCGUGGCCGUGUUUUCCUGGUGGCCCGGCC
rfam:Pan troglodytes isolate Yerkes chimp pedigree #C0471 (Clint) chromosome Y, whole genome shotgun sequence.